rnacentral:rRNA from 1 species
GAAAGUAAAAAAGGGCGCAUGGCGGAUGCCUUGGCUCUCGGAGGCGAUGAAGGACGUGAUAAGCUGCGAUAAGCUUUGGGGAGGUGCAAAUGACCUUUGAUCCAGAGAUUUCCGAAUGGGACAACCCAAUAUCUUGAAGAGGUAUUAUCCAACGUUGUUGGAGGCUAACGCAGGGAACUGAAACAUCUUAGUACCUGCAGGAAAAGAAAAUAAACAAUGAUUCCCCCAGUAGUGGCGAGCGAACGGGGAACAGCCCAAACCAUCCAUGUUACGGCAUGGGUGGGGUUGUAGGACUACGCCGUUGCAUGAAGACAUCAGAGAAGAACUUUCUGGAAAGAAAGACCAUAGAGCAUGACAGUUGCGUAUUCGAAUGUUGUCGAAGCAUAGUAGUAUCCUGAGUAGCGCGGAGCACGAGGAAUUCUGCGUGAAUCUGCCGGGACCAUCCGGUAAGGCUAAAUACUCCCGAGAGACCGAUAGCGAACCAGUACCGUGAGGGAAAGGUGAAAAGCACUUCGAACAGAAGAGUGAAAUAGUUCCUGAAACCGUGCGCCUACAAGCGGUCGGAGCUCGUUAAUGAGUGACGGCGUGCCUUUUGCAUAAUGAACCUACGAGUUGCCUUUGCCGGCAAGGUUAAGUGUGACGACACACGUAUCCGAAGCGAAAGCGAGUCUGAACAGGGCGUAUAGUCGGCAGUGGCAGACGCGAAACCAAGUGAUCUACCCUUGGCCAGGUUGAAGGCUGGGUAACACCAGCUGGAGGACCGCACCAAUAAGCGUUGAAAAGCUUCUGGAUGAGCUGAGGGUAGGGGUGAAAGGCUAAUCAAACUUGGAGAUAGCUCGUACUCCCCGAAAUGCAUUUAGGUGCAGCCUUGCGGGUUACUGAUGUGAGGUAGAGCGACUGAUAAGAUGCGAGGGCUUCACCGCCUAUCAAGUCUUGACAAACUCCGAAUGCGCAUCAGUUCUACCGCAGGAGUGAGGGCAUGGGUGCUAAGGUCCGUGCCCGAGAGGAGAAGAAUCCGGACCACCUGCUAAGGUCCCGAAAUGACAGCUAAGUUAAACUAACGAAGUCUGACUGCUAAGACAGCUAGGAUGUUGGCUUGGAAGCAGCCAUUCAUUUAAAGAGUGCGUAACAGCUCACUAGUCGAGGAGUCGGGCGUGGAUAAUAAUCGGGUAUCAAGUUGUCUACCGAAGCAGUGGGAUCAUUUAUAUGAUCGGUAGGGGAGCAUUCCAGUCAGCGUCGAAGGCGUACCGUGAGGUAUUCUGGAGCGUCUGGAAAAGCAAAUGUAGGUAUAAGUAACGAUAAAGGGGGCGGGAAACCCCCUCGCCGAAAGACUAAGGUUUCCUGAUCAACGCUAAUCGGAUCAGGGUCAGUCGGGUCCUAAGGCUCAGCCGAACGGCGAUGCCGAUGGCAGAAACGGUUAAUAUUCCGUUACUACCUUCAGGAGUGACGUGGAGACGCAGUAGUGACAGUGCCGCCAUCUGACGGAAUAGAUGGUUGAAGGGUGUAGGAGUCGAUCAUGGCAGGCAAAUCCACCAUGAGAUCCGAACCUGACAGUAUGCCGCGUCCUUCGGGACAAGGCAAUAGUGCGCGUAAGCAUGCUGCCGAGAAAAUCCGCUAAACUUAAUCCUGCAGGUACCCGUACCGCAAACGGACACACGUAGUCGGGAUGAAUAUUCUAAGGCGCUUGAGUGAUUCACGGUUAAGGAACUAGGCAAACUGACCCUGUAACUUCGGGAUAAAGGGUCCCUACCCUUUUAUGGGAGGGCGCAGAGAAUCGGUCCAGGCAACUGUUUAACAAAAACACAGGGCUGUGCCAAAUCGAAAGAUCCAGUAUACAGCCUGACACCUGCCCGGUGCUGGAAGGUUAAGAGGAGAUGUCAUCGAUAAGAGAAGCGUUGAAUUGAAGCCCCAGUAAACGGCGGCCGUAACUAUAACGGUCCUAAGGUAGCGAAAUUCCUUGUCGGGUAAGUUCCGACCUGCACGAAUGGUGUAAUGAUCUGGACACUGUCUCAACCGUGAGCUCAGUGAAAUUGUAGUAUCGGUGAAGAUGCCGAUUACCCGCGAUGGGACGAAAAGACCCCGUGAACCUUUACUAUAGCUUAUCAUUGAAUCUGGGCACGUGAUGUGUAGGAUAGGUCGGAGGCUUUGAAGCAGGUACGCCAGUAUUUGUGGAGCCGCUGUUGAAAUACGACCCUUUAUUUGUUUGGAUUCUAACCCGUGGAUACGGGGACAUUGAUUGGUGGGUAGUUUGACUGGGGUGGUCGCCUCCAAAAGCGUAACGGAGGCUUCUAAAGGUGCCCUCCGGCCGAUUGGUAACCGGCCUUAGAGUGUAAUGGCAUAAGGGCGCUUGACUGGGAGACUGACAAGUCGAUCAGGUAGGAAACUAGAGCAUAGUGAUCCGGUGUUUCCGUAUGGAAGGGACAUCGCUCAAAGGAUAAAAGGUACUCCGGGGAUAACAGGCUGAUCCCUCCCAAGAGCUCAUAUCGACGGAGUGGUUUGGCACCUCGAUGUCGGCUCGUCACAUCCUGGGGCUGGAGAAGGUCCCAAGGGUUGGGCUGUUCGCCCAUUAAAGUGGCACGCGAGCUGGGUUCAGAACGUCGUGAGACAGUUCGGUCUCUAUCUAUCGUGGGCGUAUGAAAUUUGCGUGGCUCUGACACUAGUACGAGAGGACCGUGUUGGACUGACCGCUGGUUUACCAGUUGUGCCGCCAGGUGCAUUGCUGGGUAUCUAAGUCGGGAUUGGAUAAGUGCUGAAAGCAUCUAAGUACGAAGCCAGCCACAAGAUUAGAUUUCUUAGGGUCGUCAAAGACGAUGACGUUGAUAGGAUGCAGGUGUAAAGGUGGUAACAUCAAAGCCGAGCAUUACUAAUUGCCCGUUCACUUUCUUUC